GAUGAACGCUGACAGAAUGCUUAACACAUGCAAGUCAACUUGAACUUCGGUUUGGGUGGCGGACGGGUGAGUAACGCGUAAAGAACUUGCCUCACAGAUAGGGACAACAUUUGGAAACGAAUGCUAAUACCUGAUAUUAUGAUUUUAGGGCAUCCUAGGAUUAUGAAAGCUAUAUGCGCUGUGAGAGAGCUUUGCGCCCCAUUAGCUAGUUGGAGAGGUAACGGCUCACCAAGGCGAUGAUGGGUAGCCGGCCUGAGAGGGUGAUCGGCCACAAGGGGACUGAGACACGGCCCUUACUCCUACGGGAGGCAGCAGUGGGGAAUAUUGGACAAUGGACCAAGAGUCUGAUCCAGCAAUUCUGUGUGCACGAUGAAGUUUUUCGGAAUGUAAAGUGCUUUCAGUUGGGAAGAAAAAAAUGACGGUACCAACAGAAGAAGUGACGGCUAAAUACGUGCCAGCAGCCGCGGUAAUACGUAUGUCACAAGCGUUAUCUGGAUUUAUUGGGCGUAAAGCGCGUCUAGGUGGUUAUGUAAGUCUGAUGUGAAAAUGCAGGGCUCAACUCUGUAUUGCGUUGGAAACUGUGUAACUAGAGUACUGGAGAGGUAAGCGGAACUACAAGUGUAGAGGUGAAAUUCGUAGAUAUUUGUAGGAAUGCCGAUGGGGAAGCCAGCUUACUGGACAGAUACUGACGCUGAAGCGCGAAAGCGUGGGUAGCAAACAGG
rnacentral:rRNA from 1 species